GAGAAUAUAGCUAAAAUGGGAGAGCGCAUGCUUAGCAUGCAUGAGGUCCUGGGUUCAAUUCCCAAUGCUUCCA
rnacentral:tRNA from 1 species